GUUUAAAGGGUCCGUAGGCGGUUUAGUAAGUCAGUGGUGAAAGCCCAUCGCUCAACGGUGGAACGGCCAUUGAUACUGCUAAACUUGAAUUAUUAGGAGGUAACUAGAAUAUGUAGUGUAGCGGUGAAAUGCUUAGAGAUUACAUGGAAUACCAAUUGCGAAGGCAGGUUACUACUAAUGGAUUGACGCUGAUGGACGAAAGCGUGGGUAGCGAACAGGAUUAGAUACCCUGGUAGUCCACGCCGUAAACGAUGGAUACUAGCUGUUGGAAGCAAUUUCAGUGGCUAAGCGAAAGUGAUAAGUAUCCCACCUGGGGAGUACGUUCGCAAGAAUGAAACUCAAAGGAAUUAACGGGGGCCCGCACAAGCGGUGGAGCAUGUGGUUAAAUUCGAUGAUACGCGAGGAACCUUACCAAGGCUUAAAUGUAGAUUGACCGGUUUGGAAACAGACUUUUCGCAAGACAAUUUACAAGGAGCUGCAUGGUUGCCGUCAGCUCGUGCCGUGAGGUGUCAGGUUAAGUCCUAUAACGAGCGCAACCCCUGUUGUUAGUUGCCAGCGAGUCAUGUCGGGAACUCUAACGAGACUGCCAGUGCAAACUGAGAGGAAGGUGGGGAUGACGUCAAAUCAUCACGGCCCUUACGCCUUGGGCUACACACGUGCUACAAUGGCCGGUACAGAGAGCAGCCACUGGGUGACCAGGAGCGAAUCUAUAAAACCGGUCACAGUUCGGAUCGGAGUCUGCAACUCGACUCCGUGAAGCUGGA
rnacentral:rRNA from 1 species